rnacentral:rRNA from 1 species
UACAGAGGUCUCGAGCGUUAGGCGGAAUCACUGGGCUUAAAGCGUGUGUAGGCGGAUCGUUAAGUGCCUUGUGAAAUCCCACGGCUCAACCGUGGAACUGCUUGGCAUACUGGCGGUCUUGAGCAACCUAGGGGCGAGCGGAACAAAUGGUGGAGCGGUGAAAUGCGUAGAUAUCAGGAGGAACACCUGCGGUGUAGACGGCUUACUGGACCAUCACUGACGCUGAGGCACGAAAGCGUGGGUAGCAAACAGG